UACGGGGGGGGCAAGCGUUUGUUCGGAAUUACUGGGCGUAAAGAGUGCGUAGGCGGUUUUCUAAGUUUGGUGUGAAAUCUCCCGGCUCAACUGGGAGGGUGCGCCGAAGACUGGAAGGCUUGAGUAUGGGAGAGGUAAGCGGAAUUCCAGGUGUAGCGGUGAAAUGCGUAGAUAUCUGGAGGAACAUCAGUGGCGAAGGCGACACCCUGGACUCAUACUGACACUGAGGUGCGAAAGCGUGGGGAGCAAACAGG
rnacentral:rRNA from 1 species